rnacentral:rRNA from 1 species
GAUGAACGCUGGCGGCGUGCCUAAUACAUGCAAGUCGAGCGAACAGACGAGGAGCUUGCUCCUCUGACGUUAGCGGCGGACGGGUGAGUAACACGUGGAUAACCUACCUAUAAGACUGGGAUAACUUCGGGAAACCGGAGCUAAUACCGGAUAAUAUUUUGAACCGCAUGGUUCAAUAGUGAAAGACGGUUUUGCUGUCACUUAUAGAUGGAUCCGCGCUGCAUUAGCUAGUUGGUAAGGUAACGGCUUACCAAGGCAACGAUGCGUAGCCGACCUGAGAGGGUGAUCGGCCACACUGGAACUGAGACACGGUCCGGACUCCUACGGGAGGCAGCAGUAGGGAAUCUUCCGCAAUGGGCGAAAGCCUGACGGAGCAACGCCGCGUGAGUGAUGAAGGUCUUCGGAUCGUAAAACUCUGUUAUUAGGGAAGAACAAAUGUGUAAGUAACUAUGCACGUCUUGACGGUACCUAAUCAGAAAGCCACGGCUAACUACGUG